rnacentral:rRNA from 2 species
GGCAAGACGGAAAGACCCCGUGAACCUUUACUAUAGCUUGACACUGAACAUUGAGCCUUGAUGUGUAGGAUAGGUGGGAGGCUUUGAAGUGUGGACGCCAGUCUGCAUGGAGCCGACCUUGAAAUACCACCCUUUAAUGUUUGAUGUUCUAACGUGGACCCGUAAUCCGGGUUGCGGACAGUGUCUGGUGGGUAGUUUGACUGGGGCGGUCUCCUCCUAAAGAGUAACGGAGGAGCACGAAGGUUGGCUAAUCCUGGUCGGACAUCAGGAGGUUAGUGCAAUGGCAUAAGCCAGCUUGACUGCGAGCGUGACGGCGCGAGCAGGUGCGAAAGCAGGUCAUAGUGAUCCGGUGGUUCUGAAUGGAAGGGCCAUCGCUCAACGGAUAAAAGGUACUCCGGGGAUAACAGGCUGAUACCGCCCAAGAGUUCAUAUCGACGGCGGUGUUUGGCACCUCGAUGUCGGCUCAUCACAUCCUGGGGCUGAAGUAGGUCCCAAGGGUAUGGCUGUUCGCCAUUUAAAGUGGUACGCGAGCUGGGUUUAGAACGUCGUGAGACAGUUCGGUCCCUAUCUGCCGUGGGCGCUGGAGAACUGAGGGGGGCUGCUCCUAGUACGAGAGGACCGGAGUGGACGCAUCACUGGUGUUCGGGUUGUCAUGCCAAUGGCACUGCCCGGUAGCUAAAUGCGGAAGAGAUAAGUGCUGAAAGCAUCUAAGCACGAAACUUGCCCCGA